UCUGUGUGUUUGCAUACGUGUCCUGCCUCUCUGCUCCCAGCCGUUAAGAGAUCAGAGUUGAUCGGUGGCUGUCCAGGCCUUUCAGAGACACUGACACGCCGGCAGCACAAUGAUGAUGUCACUGAUUCUACUGCUGGUCACCCUGGGGCUCCUUGUUCAGGAUUCAUCAGGAGAUAUCAUCCUGACUCAGUCUCCUGCAUCUCAGUCUGUUGUUCCAGGUCAGACUGUCUCUAUCAGAUGUAAAGCCAGUUACAACUGCCAGUACAUACCUUCACUGGUACCUCCAGAAACCUGAUGAACCUCCCAAACUCUUGAUUUAUCGUGCUACUAAUCGUCAGUCUGGAGUUUCAGGUCGUUUUAGUGGAAGUGGAUCUGGGACUGCCUUCACUCUGAGCAUCAGUGGAGUUCAGACUGAAGAUGCAGGAGAUUAUUACUGUCAGCAGGGUAAAAGCUUCCCGUUCACACAGUGA